rnacentral:rRNA from 1 species
AAUGGCAGGUCAGCAUACUGCCGUGAAUACGUUCCCGGGCCUUGUACACACCGCCCGUCACACCAUGAGAGUUGGAGAUACCCGAAGCCUGUGAGCCAACUAUAUAGAGGCAGCAGUCGAAGGUAGAAUCAAUGAUUGGGGUGAAGUCGUAACAAGGUAUC